AUAUGACCAGAAAUUCAGAUUACACAGCGAUUGGUGCAAGUGACACAUGACACACAGAAAGUGAAAAUAAAUCGACCUUCCUGUUCUCUAUUCAGCAAACAGCAGUGUUAUAAACCUGGCCGUAGGACAGAAAAAGUCUUUCUAACGAGCUACUUCCUCAAACUUCGACAAGUGCUGAGUGCGUUCCCGUGAAGCCAACGAUUCUAGAACUCAGGGAUUAAAAUGUUAAG